CCGAGGUGCUCAUGUAACCCACGGAGAAAACCUUUUCGACAUGCUUGGAAGGGUAGAGAUAACCGAAGUAAUCAACAGCCGUGAUGAAAGCAUUCCACGGAAGCAAAUUGCCUGCACCAAGCAAGAAAUGGAUUACAUAAGCAACUCUGUAAGUAUCCCUUGGCUCAAGCUGAUGACCUGUUGAAGCCUUUGGGUUUUCCAUUUCUUGCAUAUCCUGCACUUACAAGAGUGCAAGUGCAGUACUUUGGCUGGAAUUUAAGGUUGCCAAUAAGGUAUAAGGUUGUUCUAGAGAAUUGAUUAAUUGACUUGUUGAUUAGAAUGGCAUAUAAACAAAGCUAAACUGAGCCUAACAGAGAGUAGCAGCUUAAGCUAGUCAAUAGCAAAGAGGCUUAAAUGGUAUUUGUAAUGCAAUAUAGCUUAGCUAGCUGCCUUUGUGAAAUUGGUUUAGUUGAACCAGCUUGACUAACCAUGGGAGGGCAAGCUGGAGCCACUUGAUGAUGGGAUUUGAUUGAUGGGUUUGGGAUUUUGGAACCAAUGGGGGGCUCAUGCUUGUUAGAAAAUAUGCGCUGUUUGUGGGGACGGUAAUGGAUGGCAAGAGGUUGAAAUACCUUUUCUUUUGUCAUUGCUUUUCUGCUACCACUGCCCAUGGGUUAACAUGCCAUUGGUCUUUUCAGGUUAAUAAUCAGAAUCUUACCUGAAGGACUAGGGGGGGCUGGCAAUGGCAUAUUUCAGUAGCCUCGUGAGAUGAUCAUUUCACAACUUGCAAACAUUUAUUCUCGGUACUCGUAUGGAUAUAAGGAUGUGAUCUUCGAAGGCAGACACUCAUUCAAGUUCGAGUAACAUAAAAAAGGUUCAAUGUCUGCCUAUUUUUAUGCCUAUUGUAUUUGAUCAUUUGAAUUUGAUACCUUAAAAAUAAAGUAUAUACAUGUUUUAAAUAUGCUCUAUCAUAUUUUUUGAAGACUCAAUUAGAACAUUUUGAAAUUCUGAACCAUUUAAUAGAAAC
rnacentral:lncRNA from 1 species